UACAUGGGGUGCAAGCGUUGCUCGGAAUUAUUGGGCGUAAAGCGCACGUAGGCGGUUCGUUAAGUCGGAUGUGAAAGCCCUCGGCUCAACUGAGGAAGUGCACCCGAAACUGGCGAGCUUGAGUACGAAAGAGGAUAGCGGAAUUCCCGGUGUAGAGGUGAAAUUCGUAGAUAUCGGGAGGAACACCGGUGGCGAAGGCGGCGAUCUGGGUCGAUACUGACGCUGAGGUGCGAAAGCGUGGGGAGCAAACAGG
rnacentral:rRNA from 1 species